rnacentral:rRNA from 1 species
UUAAGCGACUAAGCGUACACGGUGGAUGCCCUGGCAGUCAGAGGCGAUGAAGGACGUGCUAAUCUGCGAAAAGCGUCGGUAAGGUGAUAUGAACCGUUAUAGCCGGCGAUGUCCGAAUGGGGAAACCCAGUGCAAUUCGUUGCACUAUCGUUAACUGAAUACAUAGGUUAACGAGGCGAACCGGGGGAACUGAAACAUCUAAGUACCCCGAGGAAAAGAAAUCAACCGAGAUUCCCCCAGUAGCGGCGAGCGAACGGGGAGCAGCCCAGAGUCUGAAUCAGCUUGUGUGUUAGUGGAACGGUCUGGAAAGUCCGACGGUACAGGGUGAUAGUCCCGUACACCAAAAUGCACAGGUUGUGAACUCGAAGAGUAGGGCGGGACACGUGGUAUCCUGUCUGAAUAUGGGGGGACCAUCCUCCAAGGCUAAAUACUCCUGACUGACCGAUAGUGAACCAGUACCGUGAGGGAAAGGCGAAAAGAACCCCGGCGAGGGGAGUGAAAAAGAACCUGAAACCGUGUACGUACAAGCAGUGGGAGCACCUUCGGGUGUGACUGCGUACCUUUUGUAUAAUGGGUCAGCGACUUAUAUUCUGUAGCAAGGUUAACCGUAUAGGGGAGCCGCAGGGAAACCGAGUCUUAACUGGGCGUUAAGUUGCAGGGUAUAGACCCGAAACCCGGUGAUCUAGCCAUGGGCAGGUUGAAGGUUGGGUAACACUAACUGGAGGACCGAACCGACUAAUGUUGAAAAAUUAGCGGAUGACUUGUGGCUGGGGGUGAAAGGCCAAUCAAACCGGGAGAUAGCUGGUUCUCCCCGAAAGCUAUUUAGGUAGCGCCUCGUGAACUCAUCUUCGGGGGUAGAGCACUGUUUCGGCUAGGGGGUCAUCCCGACUUACCAACCCGAUGCAAACUACGAAUACCGAAGAAUGUUAUCACGGGAGACACACGGCGGGUGCUAACGUCCGUCGUGAAGAGGGAAACAACCCAGACCGCCAGCUAAGGUCCCAAAGUCAUGGUUAAGUGGGAAACGAUGUGGGAAGGCACAGACAGCCAGGAUGUUGGCUUAGAAGCAGCCAUCAUUUAAAGAAAGCGUAAUAGCUCACUGGUCGAGUCGGCCUGCGCGGAAGAUGUAACGGGGCUAAACCAUGCACCGAAGCUGCGGCAGCGACACUAUGUGUUGUUGGGUAGGGGAGCGUUCUGUAAGCCUGCGAAGGUGNUGCUGGAGGUAUCAGAAGUGCGAAUGCUGACAUAAGUAACGAUAAAGCGGGUGAAAAGCCCGCUCGCCGGAAGACCAAGGGUUCCUGUCCAACGUUAAUCGGGGCAGGGUGAGUCGACCCCUAAGGCGAGGCCGAAAGGCGUAGUCGAUGGGAAACAGGUUAAUAUUCCUGUACUUGGUGUUACUGCGAAGGGGGGACGGAGAAGGCUAUGUUAGCCGGGCGACGGUUGUCCCGGUUUAAGCAUGUAGGCUGGUUGUCCAGGCAAAUCCGGAUAAUCAAGGCUGAGGUGUGAUGACGAGGCACUACGGUGCUGAAGUAACAAAUGCCCUGCUUCCAGGAAAAGCCUCUAAGCAUCAGGUAACAUUAAAUCGUACCCCAAACCGACACAGGUGGUCAGGUAGAGAAUACCAAGGCGCUUGAGAGAACUCGGGUGAAGGAACUAGGCAAAAUGGUGCCGUAACUUCGGGAGAAGGCACGCUGGUGUGUAGGUGAAGUCCCUGCGGAUGGAGCUGAGACCAGUCGAAGAUACCAGCUGGCUGCAACUGUUUAUUAAAAACACAGCACUGUGCAAACACGAAAGUGGACGUAUACGGUGUGACGCCUGCCCGGUGCCGGAAGGUUAAUUGAUGGGGUUAUCCGUAAGGAGAAGCUCUUGAUCGAAGCCCCGGUAAACGGCGGCCGUAACUAUAACGGUCCUAAGGUAGCGAAAUUCCUUGUCGGGUAAGUUCCGACCUGCACGAAUGGCGUAAUGAUGGCCAGGCUGUCUCCACCCGAGACUCAGUGAAAUUGAACUCGCUGUGAAGAUGCAGUGUACCCGCGGCAAGACGGAAAGACCCCGUGAACCUUUACUAUAGCUUGACACUGAACAUUGAGCCUUGAUGUGUAGGAUAGGUGGGAGGCUUUGAAGCGUGGACGCCAGUCUGCGUGGAGCCAACCUUGAAAUACCACCCUUUAAUGUUUGAUGUUCUAACGUUGGCCCCUUACCGGGGUUGCGGACAGUGUCUGGUGGGUAGUUUGACUGGGGCGGUCUCCUCCUAAAGCGUAACGGAGGAGCACGAAGGUUAGCUAAUCCUGGUCGGACAUCAGGAGGUUAGUGCAAUGGCAUAAGCUAGCUUGACUGCGAGCGUGACGGCGCGAGCAGGUGCGAAAGCAGGUCAUAGUGAUCCGGUGGUUCUGAAUGGAAGGGCCAUCGCUCAACGGAUAAAAGGUACUCCGGGGAUAACAGGCUGAUACCGCCCAAGAGUUCAUAUCGACGGCGGUGUUUGGCACCUCGAUGUCGGCUCAUCACAUCCUGGGGCUGAAGUAGGUCCCAAGGGUAUGGCUGUUCGCCAUUUAAAGUGGUACGCGAGCUGGGUUUAGAACGUCGUGAGACAGUUCGGUCCCUAUCUGCCGUGGGCGCUGGAGAAUUGAGGGGGGCUGCUCCUAGUACGAGAGGACCGGAGUGGACGCAUCACUGGUGUUCGGGUUGUCAUGCCAAUGGCACUGCCCGGUAGCUAAAUGCGGAAGAGAUAAGUGCUGAAAGCAUCUAAGCACGAAACUUGCCCCGAGAUGAGUUCUCCCUGAGACUUUAAGUCUCCUGAAGGAACGUUGAAGACGACGACGUUGAUAGGCCGGGUGUGUAAGCGCAGCGAUGCGUUGAGCUAACCGGUACUAAUGAACCGUGAGGCUUAACCUU